AAGCAGGUACACCACAGACCAAGGAAAUGGCUGAAAAGUAGACCGUUUACCCCCCAGUGCAUGUUCUAGUCUGGAUUUUUAUCCAUGGCUUUCUAAGCAAAUGUGAAAUUGAUGCAAAGGGCUCAGGUGCAGCCUCAAAACACUUGCCUCCAUGCCAAAGCCUGUGAUGUAGCUGGUUUAGUGCUGGCAGGUGGGAAGCACCCAAUGCUGCUCUGCAUGCUCUCAGUGCCUACUUUGUGAAGGUUUCUUGAAGAAGAACUAGAGCCUGGACAAACAGGAACAGGCAGAGGAAUCAUUCUAUUCCAGUUCUAUACUAUAUGGGAGCAAGAUAAGGCAAAGGGGUUUCUUGGGAGUAUGGAGUAGUCAGUAAUUUACAGCUCAGGAAACCUUUAGUAAAUCAAUGCUCUCUUAACUUAGUCAGUACUCCAAUUCUGUUUCAAAGUGGAAGAACUGUUUCCCAAAUGCAGGACUCUGCAGGGCCAGUAACUGCUGCUCAGAAUGAAAAAUACAAAGGGAAUGUGCAGGUGGAAAGAACAUCUAAUUUGGGCAGAGAUCACCCGGCUGCUGUGUGCAAGUGGGGUGUACAGUAAAGGCCAUAAAAGCCCAAAGGGUGUGAGAAAUGGGGAAGAAAGAGCUUUCUACAACAAGCUCAGAUGAAAAGGUCUUAACUUGAAUUGAGAGUUGCAACAGUAAUAUUUUCUAGUAACAUUUUUUCUACAGUUUCAGAAUUUUAGUUGCACUACACUUUCUGUGGUAGUAACAUUUGUGUAAAUAAUUUCUGAUAAUUUUUAAAUGUAGAUAAUAACUGAUCAGUCCCACAGAGUUUUAAAUCAAAACUCUGGCAGACACCUGUGGUAGAAAAUCAUACUUUUCCCCUUUAAGCAAGAAGGUUGACUAUGGAAUUCAGUGGAUUAAAAAAAGUGUAUGGCACAACUACUAAGUGUAUGCCAUUACAAACCACUCAAACACACCAGUAAGUAUGAGAGGAAGUAAAGAAAAUAGUGAAUAGUAAUGCAAAAGGAAAGUGCAUCUUUUCAGAUGCAGAAGCAAAAUAAUUACAGAAGGACAAUUUUAGGGAAUUGAGUUUACAUGCUAAUAAUAAAUUGCUUUGAGUUUUCGUUAAAAUUUACAUGACAAGAUCUAAAAUGCAUUUUGUCAGCUCAUGAAGACUAAUCCUGCUUCAGCACAAGUAUUUAAUGCACAGACACAGUUUAGGUAUGGGUGAGAAGAAAAAUGAUAGUCCACAACACAGCAGUGAGAAGGAAAAUGGACACUGGGGAGUAAACUGUCUCACUUUACUUUUUUAUUUCAGCUCCCUGUAAGGUGGUUUUAAUUACAUAAAGCAGACAUCUAAAGCCAAGAAUUCAUCAGCAUGUGGCCCAGAAGUGUGGGGAAAAGAAAAAAAAAACACAGACCACUGAUAAACAUCAUGAACUGUCUGUUCACAGUGUUGGAAGCAAGACCAACAUCAUCUUCGUCAAACAUCUUAUCUGAGCUUCUGAACUGCUGGUAAUCUCUGUAUGAACCACUGCCAGAAAAUGAGUCCUGAUGUGAAGUCCAGCCACUCUUGCAGCCUGUUUCCUGAUGCCUGAAUCCUUGACAACUAGAUUCCUGGUUCCAGCUAGACUCCUGCUUCCAGCUAGAGCUCUGGUUCCACCUAGAGUCCUCAUUCCACUCAUUCCACCUGGUGUCCUGGUGCCACCUGGAGCCACCUCUUCCUGAAACAGCAGAAUUUGCAGAAGAUGUACAAGUAUUCACAGAAUCAUCAUGCUUGUAAGAGGAAUAGCUUUGCAAUGGAUCAUUUGUGGAGUAUCUUCCAGAUGAAGGAUAUGAGGCUGUAGAAUUGGGAUAGGAUAAUCCUUGAUCACUUACAGUCCACGCUUUUGUACACGUUUGUUGAUUCCUCCAUUUUGUAUUUUCCCCGCCAUAUGAGAGUCUGUUAUCAUGGAGUUUACUUCCUUGCACGUCUCUGGACAUAUAUUCUGCUGAGUACUCCCUCACUGGGCUUGUCACAUAGGAAGAGGCCCCACCAGCUGAAUUACUGUCAGAUGCAGAUUGGCUGAACUGUCCCAGCCAUUCACUGACACCACUGGCAGGACUUCCAGUGUGAAGAGCAAGAGAGUCCCUGAGUGCAGACAUCAUUGUAAAGUCAUUAGACAUCAGAUGACAGGAAGAUGACCCAUCAUCUGUUUGGUAACUGUAUGAGUGAGCAGGAGCAAAAGAAGCUUCUGCAGAGCACUCUUCAUACUGAGACAAAAAACCUUGAUUCCAGUUAGAACUUCCUGAAUAAAGAAAGGACACUAAAAGUUAGCAAAACAUUAAAAUAUCAACUGCAAACACAAGAUUUUAUAAAGUGAUUCUAUGAAGUGUCCUUCUGUUCUUUUCCCA